rnacentral:rRNA from 1 species
GUUGAACGCUGGCGGCGUGCCUAAUACAUGCAAGUCGGGCGAACAGACGAGGAGCUUGCUCCUCUGACGUUAGCGGCGGACGGGUGAGUAACACGUGGAUAACCUACCUAUAAGACUGGGAUAACUUCGGGAAACCGGAGCUAAUACCGGAUAAUAUAUUGAACCGCAUGGUUCAAUAGUGAAAGACGGUUUUGCUGUCACUUAUAGAUGGAUCCGCGCCGCAUUAGCUAGUUGGUAAGGUAACGGCUUACCAAGGCGACGAUGCGUAGCCGACCUGAGAGGGUGAUCGGCCACACUGGAACUGAGACACGGUCCAGACUCCUACGGGAGGCAGCAGUAGGGAAUCUUCCGCAAUGGGCGAAAGCCUGACGGAGCAACGCCGCGUGAGUGAUGAAGGUCUUCGGAUCGUAAAACUCUGUUAUUAGGGAAGAACAAAUGUGUAAGUAACUAUGCACGUCUCGACGGUACCUAAUCAGAAAGCCACGGCUAACUACGUG